rnacentral:rRNA from 1 species
GGCAACGGACGGAAGUAUGACCGAGCAACGCCGCGUGAGUGAAGAAGGUUUUCGGAUCGUUAAGCUCUUUUGUAAGAGAAGAACGAGUGUGAGAGUGGAAAGUUCACACUGUGCCGGUAUCUUACCAGAAAGGGACGGCUAACUACGCUACCACGCACCCGCGGUAAUACGUAGGUCCCGAGCGUUGUCCAGAUUUAUUGGGCGUAAAGGGAGCGCAGGCGGUUAGAAAAGUCUGAAGUUAAAGGCUGUGGGUUAACCACUAGUAGGCUUUGGAAUACUGUUUAACUUGAGUGCAUAGAGGGGAGGAGUGGAUGUACCAUGAGUAGUCGGUGAUAGUGAGUAGAUAUAUGGAGGAGCAACUCGGUGGCGAAAGCGGCUGCCCGCUGUGGAACUGACGAUGAUGAUCGAAGCGUGGGGAGUCAAACCAGGAUUAGAUUAACCAUGCGUAGUCCACGACCGUUACGAUGAGUGCUAGGUGUUAGACCCUUUCCGG